CAAUAGCGUAUAUUUAAGUUGUUGCAGUUAAAAAGCUCGUAGUUGGAUUUCGGGUGGGACGCAGCGGUCUCGCAUUGCGUUUGUACUGCUGCAGCCCUCCUUCUUGCCGGGGGCGGCCUCUCGGACUUCACUGUCUGGGGGUCAGAAUCGGCGAUGUUACUUUGAGUAAAUUAGAGUGUUCAAAGCAAGCUUACGCUCUGAAUAUAAUAGCAUGGGAUAACACGACAGGACUCUGGCCUAUCGUGUUGGUCUAUAGGACCAGAGUAAUGAUUAAGAGGGACAGUCGGGGGCAUUCGUAUUCCGUUGUCAGAGGUGAAAUUCUUGGAUUUACGGAAGACGAACAUCUGCGAAAGCAUUUGCCAAGGAUGUUUUCAAUGA
rnacentral:rRNA from 1 species